rnacentral:rRNA from 1 species
GACGAACGCUGGCGGCGUGCUUAACACAUGCAAGUCGAACGGAAAGGCCCUGCUUUUGUGGGGUGCUCGAGUGGCGAACGGGUGAGUAACACGUGAGUAACCUGCCCUUGACUUUGGGAUAACUUCAGGAAACUGGGGCUAAUACCGGAUAGGAGCUCCUGCUGCAUGGUGGGGGUUGGACAGUUUCGGCGGUUGGGGAUGGACUCGCGGCUUAUCAGCUUGUUGGUGGGGUAGUGGCUUACCAAGACUUUGACGGGUAGCCGGCCUGAGAGGGUGACCGGCCACAUUGGGACUAAGAGACGGCCCAGACUCCUACGGGAGGCAGCAGUGGGGAAUAUUGCACAAUGGGCGGAAGCCUGAUGCAGCAACGCCGCGUGCGGGAUGACGGCCUUCGGGUUGUAAACCGCUUUAGCCUGUGACGAAGCGUGAGUGACGGUAAUGGGUAAAGAAGCACCGGCUAACUACGUG